GAUGAACGCUGGCGGCGUGCCUAAUACAUGCAAGUCGAGCGGUAAGGCCCUUCGGGGUACACGAGCGGCGGACGGCUGAGUAACACGUAGGAACAUACCCCAAAGUGAGGGAUAAGCACCAGAAAUGGUGUCUAAUACCGCAUGUGCUCUAAGGAGUAAAGCUUCGGCGCUUUGGGAAUGGCCUGCGUCCGAUUAGCUUGUUGGUGAGGUAAUAGCUCACCAAGGCGACGAUCGGUAGCUGGUCUGAGAGGAUGAUCAGCCAGACUGGGACUGAGACACGGCCCAGACUCCUACGGGAGGCAGCAGUAGGGAAUUUUCCACAAUGGGCGAAAGCCUGAUGGAGCAACGCCGCGUGCAGGAUGAAGGCCUUAGGGUUGUAAACUGCUUUUAUAUGUGACGAUUAUGACGGUAGCAUAUGAAUAAGGAUCGGCUAACUCCGUGCCAGCCGCCGCGGUAAUAC
rnacentral:rRNA from 1 species